rnacentral:rRNA from 1 species
AACUCGAUCUCAAAUCAAGUAAGACUACCCGCUGAACUUAAGCAUAUCAAUAAGCGGAGGAAAAGAAACUAACAGGAUUCCCCUAGUAACGGCGAGUGAAGCGGGAUGAGCUCAAAUUUAAAAUCUGGCUGGUUUACUAGUCCGAAUUGUAGUUUAUAGAAGCGUUUUCGGUGGCAGCCUGGGUAUAAAUCCUUUGGAAUAGGGUAUCAUAGAGGGUGAGAAUCCCGUCUUUGACUCAGUGCAUGCUACUAUGUGAUACGUUUUCAAAGAGUCGAGUUGUUUGGGAAUGCAGCUCAAAAUGGGUGGUAAAUUUCAUCUAAGGCUAAAUAUUGGCGAGAGACCGAUAGCGAACAAGUACCGUGAGGGAAAGAUGAAAAGAACUUUGAAAAGAGAGUUAAACAGUGCGUGAAAUUGUUGAAAGGGAAACGUUUGACACCAGUUAUGCGGGUGGAAAAUCAGUCUUUUGCAAUGGGGAGUUGUGGGCGUUCAGACCGCAAGGCUGGCGUUUGCUUCAUCUUUGUUGUAAGUGAUGCACUUUUUCAUUUGCAGGUCAACAUCAGUUUGCUUUGCUGGACAAAACCCCAAGGGAAAGUGGCAGCUUAGGCUGUGUUAUAGCCCUGGGGCGAUACAGUGGAGUGGACUGAGGUUUCGCAGUGUGUGCUCUCGGGCAAGGCUGACUGGGUGCUAUGGGAUCGUUCGGCGUACAAUGCAUGCAUUUUGCGUCGUGUCUUUUUCAUACUCGCUCAACUCGGCUCUUCCACACUUAGGAUGUUGACUUAAUGGUUUUAAACGACCCGUCUUGAAACACGGACCAAGGAGUCUAACAUAUAUGCAAGUGU